GGUUGCCCGCCCCGCUGCCGGGCCGGGGUCCUCAGCGGCGAGCAGCCUCCCGGCGGCGGCAGAGCCCCCCUGUAGCAAUAGAGUAAGCAAAAAGAUGCCACCGUCAGAGGGCUGCAAGCUGUGGUUGAAAUGUCCUCUACUUUUCUGUUGACCUCAGCUGGAUGUGUGCCCCCGCAUCUGCAUGGAAGAGAAGAGCACGCAGAACGGAAAGCGUUCCACUUCCUCGGCAAGCUAACAACACUGCCGCAAAAAGGCCAGGGAAGGACAAGCCCCUUCUCCCAAAACACAGCAGAAACUGGUCAACGUAGCAAAGAAUUGGAGUACGCCCUGAAAGAUGCUAGCGCCUCACUUAGAUGAUAGAGCGCCGUGCUGGCUUUUACUUAACGAAGCACAGCUGCCCUGUGCAAAAGAAACAAAGAAACAGUCUUCUGAUGAGUCUGAUUCAGAUUCUAAAUUUGAGGAUGAACCAACGGAGGAAGAAAACCGGAAUGAGACAGCCAGUACAGAAAUUCAAGAGGAGAUGCAACCAAGUGGAUCCAUGGGAAAACUGAGGCCCAAACCUGCUUAUUUGAGUUCAAAACCAAAAAGUCAAAAGCAGAGUCUUUUUACUGCAAUCUCGGACAACUGGACUCGGAGCCAGCAGAUAAGAUCCUCCCGCUUUGAGAAAAGUGUCCUCUGUAACACCGUGAUGCUAUUGUGCACCAUGCUUUCUUCUCUCAUCUGGAAUUUUGUCUGCCAGUUGCUCCAGAUCUCUAAUGUCCUGAAGAUUCAACUGCUGCCAACUUCUCUGAUUAUCUACGUGGUUCAGCUUUUCAUUUUUCUGGCUGAAAAAGUUGUGAAAAUCCUGGGCUCCUUGACGCUAGAAACCAGAGGGCUGUCAGCUUCUAUCCUAGGGAGGAAACGUAAGAAAACUGGAAUGGAGUGAUGAAGCUCAAACGGAAAACUACAGCAGGGUGGAAAUAAAGCAGAACCCACCUUUUCAGCACACCUGACAAGCUGAUGUAAGGUUAGAUCACACCCCAGAAAGGCAGUCAGCAGCAGCUUUGUUCAACCAGUCGAUGGGACCGGAAGAAAGCUGGAGGGACUGGGACAAGCCAAGGUUUUGUGCCAUCACUGUUGAUCCAGUGAUAAGGCUAUAACCAGAACGGCUGUUUGCUCCUUGCACUGAUGCACGCGUUUCACUAACUUUUAAAAAGAGGAGCUAACGAUAGGAAGUCACAUUCCAAAAAGCACAUUGCUGCUUGAGAACGCCUUUGUCUCCGCUUCUCAUGUGAAGUAAGGGUGGAAAGACUGUGUAAGUUACACCAACCUGUGCUAAUUAUGAAGCACGUCUUGUUUGUGUUUACUUGCCUUUCCCUCCCCAUCCCCUGAAGUCUGCACGUCCAAAUAUUUGCACGUCCAAAUAUUUGUCCAGAAUAGCAUGCUUUUAAAUAAAACUUGUUUACCCCUUUAUUUUUGCA
rnacentral:lncRNA from 1 species